rnacentral:rRNA from 1 species
UACACUCCUACGGGAGGCAGCAGUGGGGAAUUUUGGACAAUGGGCGAAAGCCUGAUCCAGCCAUGCCGCGUGCAGGAUGAAGGCCUUCGGGUUGUAAACUGCUUUUGUACGGAACGAAACGGCCUUUUCUAAUAAAGAGGGCUAAUGACGGUACCGUAAGAAUAAGCACCGGCUAACUACGUGCCAGCAGCCGCGGUAAUACGUAGGGUGCAAGCGUUAAUCGGAAUUACUGGGCGUAAAGCGUGCGCAGGCGGUUAUGUAAGACAGUUGUGAAAUCCCCGGGCUCAACCUGGGAACUGCAUCUGUGACUGCAUAGCUAGAGUACGGUAGAGGGGGAUGGAAUUCCGCGUGUAGCAGUGAAAUGCGUAGAUAUGCGGAGGAACACCGAUGGCGAAGGCAAUCCCCUGGACCUGUACUGACGCUCAUGCACGAAAGCGUGGGGAGCAAACAGGAUUAGAAACCCCGGUAGUCCCAUGA